rnacentral:misc_RNA from 1 species
GUGAAUCAUCGAAUCUUUGAACGCAUAUUGCGCCCGCGUCUUCGGACAAGGGCAUGCCUGCCUCAGCGUCGGGUUAAUCCUCGCAAUACAAACUCUGUGUUUGUCUAUUGCGGACCUGGUCGUCCCGAUCAAUUCAGUUUGGUCGGGUCGGCUGAAGAACAGAGGUUAACGCAUGGACCCGAUAUGGGCCUCAACUGGGUAGGCAAUUCGUUGCUACAUGCUUUAGUUGAAGGCUUGUGGACCGUGCUUGUUGGCCCAAACCAGGAAUCAAGCCUUUGGCUUGAAACACAACCCAUUUUC